UAUCCUGUCUGAAUAUGGGGGGACCAUCCUCCAAGGCUAAAUACUCCUGACUGACCGAUAGUGAACCAGUACCGUGAGGGAAAGGCGAAAAGAACCCCGGCGAGGGGAGUGAAAAAGAACCUGAAACCGUGUACGUACAAGCAGUGGGAGCACCCUUCGGGGUGUGACUGCGUACCUUUUGUAUAAUGGGUCAGCGACUUAUAUUCUGUAGCAAGGUUAACCGAAUAGGGGAGCCGGAGGGAAACCGAGUCUUAAUUGGGCGUUAAGUUGCAGGGUAUAGACCCGAAACCCGGUGAUCUAGCCAUGGGCAGGUUGAAGGUUGGGUAACACUAACUGGAGGACCGAACCGACUAAUGUUGAAAAAUUAGCGGAUGACCUGUGGCUGGGGGUGAAAGGCCAAUCAAACCGGGAGAUAGCUGGUUCUCCCCGAAAGCUAUUUAGGUAGCGCCUCGUGAAUUCAUCUCCGGGGGUAGAGCACUGUUUCGGCUAGGGGGCCAUCCCGGCUUACCAACCCGAUGCAAACUGCGAAUACCGGAGAAUGUUAUCACGGGAGACACACGGCGGGUGCUAACGUCCGUCGUGAAGAGGGAAACAACCCAGACCGCCAGCUAAGGUCCCAAAGUCAUGGUUAAGUGGGAAACGAUGUGGGAAGGCCCAGACAGCCAGGAUGUUGGCUUAGAAGCAGCCAUCAUUUAAAGAAAGCGUAAUAGCUCACUGGUCGAGUCGGCCUGCGCGGAAGAUGUAACGGGGCUAAACCAUGCACCGAAGCUGCGGCAGCGACACUGUGUGUUGUUGGGUAGGGGAGCGUUCUGUAAGCCUGUGAAGGUGUGUCGUGAGGCAUGCUGGAGGUAUCAGAAGUGCGAAUGCUGACAUAAGUAACGAUAAAGCGGGUGAAAAGCCCGCUCGCCGGAAGACCAAGGGUUCCUGUCCAACGUUAAUCGGGGCAGGGUGAGUCGACCCCUAAGGCGAGGCCGAAAGGCGUAGUCGAUGGGAAACGGGUUAAUAUUCCCGUACUUGGUGUUACUGCGAAGGGGGGACGGAGAAGGCUAUGUUGGCCGGGCGACGGUUGUCCCGGUUUAAGCGUGUAGGUGUGUGUUCCAGGUAAAUCCGGUUCACUUUAACACUGAGGCGUGACGACGAGGCACUACGGUGCUGAAGCAACAAAUGCCCUGCUUCCAGGAAAAGCCUCUAAGCAUCAGGUAACAUCAAAUCGUACCCCAAACCGACACAGGUGGUCAGGUAGAGAAUACCAAGGCGCUUGAGAGAACUCGGGUGAAGGAACUAGGCAAAAUGGUGCCGUAACUUCGGGAGAAGGCACGCUGACACGUAGGUGAAGUGAUUUACUCAUGGAGCUGAAGUCAGUCGAAGAUACCAGCUGGCUGCAACUGUUUAUUAAAAACACAGCACUGUGCAAACACGAAAGUGGACGUAUACGGUGUGACGCCUGCCCGGUGCCGGAAGGUUAAUUGAUGGGGUCAGCGCAAGCGAAGCUCCUGAUCGAAGCCCCGGUAAACGGCGGCCGUAACUAUAACGGUCCUAAGGUAGCGAAAUUCCUUGUCGGGUAAGUUCCGACCUGCACGAAUGGCGUAAUGAUGGCCAGGCUGUCUCCACCCGAGACUCAGUGAAAUUGAACUCGCUGUGAAGAUGCAGUGUACCCGCGGCAAGACGGAAAGACCCCGUGAACCUUUACUAUAGCUUGACACUGAACAUUGAGCCUUGAUGUGUAG
rnacentral:rRNA from 2 species